CUAAUGAUGUCACAGAAGGGCAGAGGAAAAGAGCCGCUGAAGCCAUGUAGACAUCUGCUGAAAGGGUCCUAGCUGUGAAUUUCCAUAGAGAGAACCAGCUGGCUUUAACACAAAGAAAUGAGAAAGUACAAGGCCAGCCAGAACAAGGUCAUCUCUAUGUGGGCAGAGAGCAAAGCAGCUAACACUGACGUGAACCACAGCACUUCAGCAGGCAGGGAAAAACUCUAAUCAACGUCAGAUUGUUACAGAUAGAGCACAGGAGUUCCAUACUGCACUGGAAUACUGCUCAGUAUUGGGUGUUUAUUGAGAGUUCCAAGUUGUUUUUCCAAGCGUCUACUAUCAUCAAGCAGCUCUCAAACGGAGUAUGUUGUCUUUUGGCAAAUUUCCCACGUACAGAAGCAUCAACAAUACAGCAAUAUCUCGAAAUCAAACAGAAUGUGUAAGUCAGAGCCACAUCGUUGUGUCUCAAAGCUGUAACUGCUCUCCCAAGCACCCAUUGACCACAGCAAUUCUGGCCUUGGAUGAUCCUCCACUGACAUGACACCAUCUACUGGCUGCUGAGCUUUCCAACUAAAGCACAAAG